rnacentral:rRNA from 1 species
GAUGUCGUUAAGUCCGCUAACGAGCGCAACCCUCGCUGUGUGUUACAAGUGUCACACGGAACUGCCGGUCGAUAAACCGGAGGAAGGUGGGGAUGACGUCAAGUCAGCAUGGCCUUUAUAUCCUGGGCUACACACACGCUACAAUGGGAAGGGACAAUAGGUUGCGAAGCCGCGAGGUGGAGCCAAUCCAGCAAAACUUCCCUCAGUUCAGAUUGCAGGCUGCAACUCGCCUGCAUGAAGUUGGAGUUGCUAGUAAACGCAGGUCAGCCAUACUGCGUUGAAUACGUUCCCAGGGCUU